rnacentral:rRNA from 1 species
GAGUUUGAUCCUGGCUCAGGAUGAACGCUGGCGGCGUGCCUAAUACAUGCAAGUCGAGCGAACAGACAAGGAGCUUGCUCCUUUGACGUUAGCGGCGGACGGGUGAGUAACACGUGGGUAACCUACCUAUAAGACUGGGAUAACUUCGGGAAACCGGAGCUAAUACCGGAUAAUAUUUCGAACCGCAUGGUUCGAUAGUGAAAGAUGGUUUUGCUAUCACUUAUAGAUGGACCCGCGCCGUAUUAGCUAGUUGGUAAGGUAACGGCUUACCAAGGCGACGAUACGUAGCCGACCUGAGAGGGUGAUCGGCCACACUGGAACUGAGACACGGUCCAGACUCUACGGGAGGCAGCAGUAGGGAAUCUUCCGCAAUGGCGAAAGNCUGACGGAGCAACGCCGCGUGAGUGAUGAAGGUCUUCGGAUCGUAAAACUCUGUUAUUAGGGAAGAACAUACGUGUAAGUAACUAUGCACGUCUUGACGGUACCUAAUCAGAAAGCCACGGCUAACUACGUGCCAGCAGCCGCGGUAAUACGUAGGUGGCAAGCGUUAUCCGGAAUUAUUGGGNGUAAAGCGAGCGUAGGCGGUUUUUUAAGUCUGAUGUGAAAGCNCGGCUCAACCGUGGAGGGUCAUUGGAAACUGGAAAACUUGAGUGCAGAAGAGGAAAGUGGAAUUCCAUGUGUAGCGGUGAAAUGCGCAGAGAUAUGGAGGAACACCAGUGGCGAAGGCGACUUUCUGGUCUGUAACUGACGCUGAUGUGCGAAANCGUGGGGAUCAAACAGGAUUAGAUACCCUGGUAGUCC